GAUGAACGCUGGCGGCGUGCUUAACACAUGCAAGUCGAACGAAACACUUUAUUUGAUUUCUUCGGAAUGAAUAUUUUGUGACUGAGGGGCGGACGGGUGAGUAACGCGGGGGUAACCUGCCUCAUACAGGGGGAUAACAGUUGGAAACGACUGCUAAUACCGCAUAACCGCACAAGGUCGCAUGACCUGUGGUGAAAAACUCCGGUGGAAUGAAAGGGACCCGCGUCUGAUUACCCGGUUGGUGGGGUAACGGCCUACCAAAGCAACAAUCAGUACCCGACCUGAGAGGGGGACCGGCCACAUUGGGACUGAGACACGGCCCAAACUCCUACGGAAGGCACCAGGGGGAAAUAUUGCACAAGGGGGGAAACCCUGAUGCAGCGCCGCCGCGGGAGAGAAGAAAUUAUUUCGGUAUGUAACGCUCUACCAGCACAGAAGAAGAAAUGACGGUACCUGACUAAGAAGCACCGGCUAAAUACGUGCCAGCAGCCGCGGUAAUACGUAUGGUGCAAGCGUUAUCCGGAUUUACUGGGUGUAAAGGGAGCGCAGGCGGUACGGCAAGUCUGAUGUGAAAGCCCGGGGCUCAACCCCGGUACUGCAUUGGAAACUGUCGGACUAGAGUGUCGGAGGGGUAAGUGGAAUUCCUAGUGUAGCGGUGAAAUGCGUAGAUAUUAGGAGGAACACCAGUGGCGAAGGCGGCUUACUGGACGAUUACUGACGCUGAGGCUCGAAAGCGUGGGGAGCAAACAGGAGUAGAUACCCUGGUAGUCCACGCCGUAAACGA
rnacentral:rRNA from 1 species